UACGAAGGUCCCAAGCGUUAUCCGGAUUUAUUGGGUUUAAAGGGUGCGUAGGCGGAUUAUUAAGUCAGUGGUGAAAGCCUUCAGCUUAACUGAAGAAUUGCCAUUGAUACUGAUGAUCUUGAGUAUGAUUGAGGUGGGCGGAAUGUGUCAUGUAGCGGUGAAAUGCUUAGAUAUGACACAGAACACCGAUUGCGAAGGCAGCUCACUAAGUCAUAACUGACGCUGAUGCACGAAAGCGUGGGGAGCAAACAGG
rnacentral:rRNA from 1 species